CAGCGCCGCGGUAAUCCCGGCGGCCCGAGUGGCGGUCACUAUUAUUGGGCUUAAAGCGUCCGUAGCCGGGGUGGGAAGUCCUCCGGGAAAUCUGGCCGCUUAACGGUCAGAAUGCCGGAGGAUACUCCCAGCCUAGGGAGCGGGAGAGGCCGCGGGUAUUCCCGGAGUAGGGGUGAAAUCCUAUAAUCCCGGGAGGACCACCUGUGGCGAAGGCGCUCGGCCGGAACGCGUCCGACGGUGAGGGACGAAGGCCAGGGGAGCAAACCGGAGUAGAUACCCGGGUAGUCCUGGCUGUAAACGAUGCGGACUUUGUGUCGGACAAGCUAUGAGCUUGUCCGGUGCCGGAGGGAAACCGUUAAGUCCGCCGCCUGGGGAGUACGGCCGCAAGGCUGAAACUUAAAGGAAUUGGCGGG
rnacentral:rRNA from 1 species